rnacentral:lncRNA from 1 species
AUAUAUAAUAAGAUAUGCAUACCUUCACACAAUCCCAAAGUUGUUCAAUGUCAUUAUCAGGCACUUCAAGUAACACAAGCUUCUCUGCACUAAGGUUUGAAGGCAAUGACUUCAACGGAUAUCCAUGCCAGUGAAGAUAUUUCACUUCAGAAAAUCCAAAGUCUUGCAAAUAAGACACCUUACAUUUGUUCUCUCCAUUGAAUGAUGAACUAUAGAACUUUAAAAAUCUCAAUUUAGGCAUCUUUGUGAAAGUAUUGGGAUUUAGAUGGAUCUCUUUUACUUUUGACAUAUCCAAACAGAUGCCCUCGAUUUUUUCUGUCCCCUAAAAAUGAAUAAAAAAAAUUAAAGUUAAAAUCAAAUGAAAGAUAUGUAUAUUCCACUAAUGAAUGGCACUUCAACCCCACCAAGACAAAUUUUUGGGGCAAUUUUGUCCCUAAUUCACAAUUAGAGGUAGCUUAGUUAUUAAUUCAAUUUUUAUUUAUUCUUGUAUGGAGUUUAUGUGGGAUUGGAGUGGGGCUCUCUUUCAUUACUCGUAUCAAAUUUCAAUAAUUCAUUUUUAUAGUUAUUGCCAGGCAGUUAAACACUUAAUUGCAAAUGCACAAAGAAACAUAAUAACACAGGUAAUACUUAACAUAAAAAUUCUGUACGUGUACUACACAAAUUUACAUAUCAAUUAUGCUUACAAACGGUUAUGCAAGCCAAAAUAAUAAUCCACAACAAAAUGAUUACCGUAUUAUGUGUGAGAACUUCAUAGGUAUCCUCAUGAUGCCACAGCCUACUGCGGUUUUCAGGAUUAAUUGAUUCUUGUCGAACAAUUUCCCUACCCAAUUCUUGUAGUAAAUCAUGCAUUGUUAUCUUUUUGUGUGAAUCAAUAGCGAUGAGAGACUUAUCAACAAGAACACUUAUUCCUAUUUCUGGGUAGAAGCCGCUUGCAUUAAAGAAUUUCAUUAUAGGAUUUACAUGCUCACCUCGAAAGAAACAAGCAACAUCAAGGAAAAUACUUCUCUCUUUAUCGUCCAAAUCAUCAUAACUUAUUUUUAAUACCUCUAGAAUACUUGGAUGGAGGAUUCUUUGCAAUUUAUUUAUUGCACUUUCCCAGACUUCUUUUUCCCUUUCAUAUAGAAAGCAACCCAAAACUUUAAGAGCUAAUGGAACACCUUGAGCAUAUUUCAUUACUUUGCUUGAAAGUUCCUCAUAACCAACAUCAGGAUGGUUUUGUUUGAAGGCAUGUCGACAAAAAAGCUCAAGAGCGUGAUGAUAUUCUAAUGCCUGCAUCCUAUAUAUUUUCCUCACCCCCCAAUUUCUAAGCACUUGUUUAUUUCUGGUGGUUAUUAUGAUUCGACUCACAGGCGUCAACCAAUCAAGACUUCCAAUUAAAGAUUCUAAUUGGUUGAAGCAAGUCACAUCAUCAAAAACAAUCAGAACCUUCAUGCGGCUGAGCCUUCUAAAAUUGAGGUCAAUAUAAGGCAUCACAUUUUUAUCCUUCAAUAAAUUUGAAAGAAGCUUUUGUCGUAAGCAAGCUAAUCCUCCUGGUCUUUGUGACUCUUCUCGAACAUUUUCGAGGAAGCAAGAACAUUCAAAAUCACCCGAGAUUUUGUCGAAAAUAGCUCUAGCGAUUGCUGUUUUGCCUAUACCACCAAUGCCCCAAAUCCCUAAAGCGUAAACACCUUUCGACUCAACACCUAAUAGAGAUUCAAUUUCAUCAACUGUUGAUUCCACUCCAACCAGCUGGUUUUUGUUAUCACGCGGCUGAAACACUUCAUCCAAUCUCUUCAAAAUGUGAUUAACAACUUCAUUUGUAAGUUCCGACUCAUGCCUAGCAAAUACAUAAAAUUAGCAGCAGUAACUUCAAAUUAAUAGGAGGAAUUUGCAUUAAAUAUGAAAUAAGAGAGAUUGUCAGUUUUCCUACUGAAAUUAAUACAUACCAUACAAGUCUUCAAUCUCCCAAUGAAUUGAUAACUCUUAAAUUACACGAAUAUGCGUGAGUUUUUUUUUUUUUUAAAUGGUGCUGUAUGAGUGACAGGUUGACAUUGCUUAAAAAACAACAGAUCACCACUAAUUUUGUUAGAUAUAUAUUGUAAAAUUCUCUUGCUUUUUCUAUCAAAAUUAUUUUAUAAUUAUAGAGUGCAUUAAAAUCCUGAAUGUCCACUUCUUUGAAUAGGUCAGCCUUCAGACUUUGGGGAAAUAUUCGACAAUUUCUUCUAUCUCGUAACAAGAUCUGUUGAGGGAAAGGAAUUUUAUCAUGUGAUUGGAUUUCAAAUAAUUAAUAACUUUGGUCUUAUUGUUGAUGUCCCUUCAUGUGGGAAAAGAAAGAGAGAAAGAAAAAAGAGAGAGAGAGAGAGAGAGAUUGAGGAAACAUUGAGAUUAGUGCUUCCAGUACUGUACUUACAUACGUGUUACAAUUAUAACCAAAAGAUCAUGAGUAAUCACAGAUAACUGUAGCACGAACCGUAUCACUUUCGGCCGUCUCAGAAGAAUUCAAAGGAGUUUACAAUUCAUACAGUUAGAAGUUUGACAAUAAGAGAAUUAUUAUUAAUUACGUUUAACUCAUUUACUUUUUUUUUUUUUUUCUUUUUCUUUUUUGCUGCGUUUACUUUUCAGUUUUCAUGUCUAUAAGAUCUUUAAAAAAAUCUGGGGGCAGCAAGCAACGUUGUGUCAUAGGAUGUAUGAGAAGGAAUCUUUGAUGCUUUCACAUCUGUAGGUGCUGAAAUGUCAUCGAGGAUCUUUACAAGUUCAUCGAGACACCAUCUGGAAGAUGCAUACCCUUCUGAGAAGACGAUAACUGAAAUGGCUGAUGCUUCAAUUGCAUUCACAAGUGACUCCGAAAUUUCAUCUCCUCUGUUAAGUUGGUCAUCAAUGAAAGUUUGGAUAUUUUGUCGACACAGAGCAGAAUAGAGAUGGCUAGUAAAGUUGUCGCGGGUUUCCUCUCCUCUGAAACUAACAAAAACAUCAUACUUCUUGUUGUUUUGAGAAGAAGAAGCCAUAAUCAACAGAGACAGUUGAAUUGAUUAGAGAGAUAUUUUGAUUCGGAUGAAAACAAUUAUUGAACCAAAUGUGCGUGACUCUGUAGAAUAAAUCGAAGCCAUGAACCUUCCAUCAAGUUCCGUGAUAAUUUUUCAAUUUCAUCUCAUUGUCCAACCACCGUCCACUUCUAGCUGAAAAUUCCGCACGAACACCAUACUUAUCAAGACACGGCUUCGGUGCUUUAAUGCUCAUAACUGCCAGCAAUAAGUAGGGUUGAUAUUUUAAUUUUUAUCUAUGAAUUUAUCUUAUCGGUCCUCAUCUCUCAAUUAAUUGUAUUUAGUUUCAAAAUUAUUCUUUUUUUGUUUUAAUAGCUCUUAUUCAUGUUCUUUAGCGUUUAUUUUAAACAUAUGUUUAUUUUUUAGAUAUUUAUAUUUAAAUUAAAAAAAUAAAUUUUUACAACCUUUGCCGAAAUGAAAAUACAAAAAUUAAAUGAACUUUUACCCUUUGUGUUCCAGCAAAAGUAAGCGUACCUGGAAAAAAUGGAAUCUUUUACAAAUUUGUGAAUUUUUUUUUUUAGUGCAAUUAGAAUCAUUAAAUUGGCGGGAGAAUUGUGGUCUCAACGGGGUAACCGGUUAGAUCAAAACACAUGUCAAUUGAUUUAUGGCUCCCUAUCAAAUCUAAUUGAAGAUUUAGAUGCAUGGGUUCCAUUGUAGGCAGACCCACUCAUCUAAUUAUGGAGUGAAGAGUGAAGACUGGUACUUUUAUUGUAGAGAAAUGAAUGCUUAACUUAUUUGUCUACUGUACUUGAACAUAGGAAUUAGUAAGUGGCACUUUGCCAUUAAAGAAUUUGUGAGUGUCCGAAUAUGUGCACUACUUUAAGCUGGUGAGUGUUGACUAGUCAAUGGUCAUGGUUAAAUACAUUUUUUUUAAUGGAUCGGAAUAUUUUAACUUCAAUUUUUUAUUUUAAAAUUUUAACAUAAAUUUUGACUCUUUUAAUUCAAUCUAAUGUUAGAUAAUCAUGGUUAAAACAGUCUAAUUAUCUUUUUUUUUUAGAUACUGCAAUACAAUUAGGGUGCGUUUGACACAUUGUAUUGUAUUACGUUGUAUUGCAUUAUUUUAAUACAGGUGUAUUGUAUUAUGUUAUAUUGCAUUAACACUAUAUUAUAAUAAUAUUGUACAAUAUUUGGUGCUACACUAUACUGUAUUAAUUUUUAGUUACACUAUGUUUGGUGUUGCAUUGUAUUGUAUUAAUUCCUUUGCUGAUUAAUUUAAAUUACAUAUUUAGAAAAUAAUAUUUAUUAAUAUUUAAUACUUAGAAAAAUAUUGAAUAUAAAAGUCUUAAAUUUUGAAAAUUUAACAUUAUUGUUGUAAUAUAAAUGUUAAAAAAUAUAUCAUCAUUCUUCAUAAAGAUUUGAGCUUAUGACCUUAAAUUUUUAGUAGCACAACAUUUAUUUUUUCAGUAUUUUUUAAAUAUAUAAUAUGUAGAAUAAAAAUUAAAUCAAAUCAACUCGACACUCACGCUAGAUUCCAUUAUACGGGUUUUGCCGCAUUAAUGUUUUUUAUGCAAUACCGCAUAGCAGCCAAAUACAAUAUUUGGUGCUACACUAUACUGUAUUAAUUUUUAGUUACAUAUGUUUGGUAUUGCAUUGUAUUGUAUUAAUUCCUUUGCUGAUUAAUUUAAAUUACAUAUUUAGAAAAUAAUAUUUAUUAAUAUUUAAUACUUAGAAAAAUAUUGAAUAUAAAAGUCUUAAAUUUUGAAAAUUUAACAUUAUUGUUGUAAUAUAAAUGUUAAAAAAUAUAUCAUCAUUCUUCAUAAAGAUUUGAGCUUAUGACCUUAAAUUUUUAGUAGCAUAACAUUUAUUUUUUCAGUAUUUUUUAAAUAUAUAAUUUGUAAAAUAAAAAUUAAAUCAAAUCAACUCGACACUCACGCUAAAUUCCAUUAUACGGGUUUUGCUGCAUUAAUUUUUUUUUAUGCAAUACCGCAUAGCAGCCAAUCAUUUUAUUGUAAUAUCUUAAUACAAUAUGGCGUUCUAAUACAGUGUUAUGCGGGGCGCCAAACACGCCCUUAGUGUAUUGAUAUUAUAAAAAUAAGUUUGAUGGAAAUUAACGGAACCAUUUUUAAUGUAAUACAUCAGAAAUUCGAUCCAUAACUUCUCAACUCUUCUCUAAGGUUAGAGGGGUUUACUAGCUAAUUACUGUGAAAUUGGGAGAAAAACAAAAAAAUCUACUCCCAUAUCUAUAUGAAAAGAUUAGGUAACUUCUGACCUUAAAAAUAAAGGGUCACCACUAAACCAAGUGUUUGAUAAUCAUGUUUAAAUGUUAAUGCGAGACUACUGGCGAAAUGGGCACUACUAUUUAUGAAAAGGGAAGUUGUAAGUUUUUUUGCGAUUAGGGGAGUUGCAAGUUGAUUGCACUGAAAAGAACAAUUCGCAGUUAUUGGAGCAUAAAUAAUUGAAAGCAGUUGAAGAAUGUGAUGGUGCAUAAUUGAUGCAAAAUAAAUUAUGUAGACCCAUUGAUGCCAAAAGGAGAAUUUCCCUAUCUGUAUAGAUUUUUCAAUUUCGAUUACUUUUCCAUGUUUGAUUAACUAUUUAUGGAUAAAAACUCAUUUAAUCCCUGUAUUUUAAGAUUAGUGUCCAUUUAAUCCCUGUAUUUUUAAAAAUAUUUCAAAACAUCUCUGUCGUUAAAGGAAAAAUAAAUAAAACGUAACGGUAGGGGUAUCAAUACUUUGACGGCAGGGAUGUUUCGAGACAUAUUUAAAAAUACAAGGACUAAAUGAACACUAAUCUUAAAAUACAGGGACUAAAUGAGCUUUUACCCGGAAAAUAAAUACUAUAUCCUAAAAAUAUUUCAAUUCAAUAUAGUUAUUUCAUAAACUACGAAACCUAAUCCCUUUUAUUCGUUUUGACGUAUAAGGACAUAAAUGUUAAAUAACUACAUUUAAUGUGUUUUCUUUAUAAAAGCAAACAAGAUGCCACUUAAUUUUUAUAUAUUAAAAAAAUAAACAUGUUAUUGAAACAUUUAUAUUCAAAACCAUUCAAAUUUUAAUCAAAUUCUAACCUAUUCAUACUUUAAAUUAAAAAUAAACGCUACCUUAAUGUCCUUUCAAGUCUCUUGCGUAGUGAUGAAAAUUAAUUUUAUUUAAUCUUUCUAUGUUGGAUUAGGCUUCAAUUGUAUACCACUGUAUCUUAUGUUUGAAAAUCAUUUAAAGUAUUUUAAAAUUGAGAGAAACGUAAAAUUGAUAUUAAAAAAUAAUUUAAUUUCAACUACUUGUGAGUUGUUGGACCAUAAACUGUAUUAUAUGUCAAAGAACAUGUUUAGCUGGAUAAAAUUGUUAGCUACAUCCUUCAUUAAAAGAAAUGAUAUAAUAUAUUAAAAAUAAUACAAUCAAUUAAUGUAUGUAUUGUGACGCACAUGUGGCUAAUUAGCAAGCUGUCAGCUUAAAGCAAAGCACAUGCAUGCUUCACCUAUGUGCUUGUCAUGCAUGAUUGGAGGCAAUGUAUAUGUAUAAAGAAUUGAAGAAGCUGUCACCAUUUUCAUGAAUCAAACUAAAACAAAGCAAUUCAAAGAGAAAAGAAAAAGAAAGGAAAAGGUGAGAAGGGAAGAAAAUAAAAGGAAAAGAACAAAAGAAGAAAAGAUGAAGAAAGAAGAGGAAAAGAACAGAAGAACAAAAGAUGAAGAAGAAAAAAUAAAGAAAAGAAAAACCGAGAGUGAGAAAUGAUUUUGAAAAGAGCAAUUGAGAGGAAAUAUUAUAGGAAAGAGAAUUGGAUAGUUAUAUCUAUAUCCAGUAAGUCAGUAGGUAACGUAUUUAAGAAAUUUGAACAAUUAUGAUUUAGUUUAUGUCAUAUGUAUAAGUUUUUAUAUCAGUUCUAACAAUUAAUUUUUGAACCCUAUAUUUUAGGAGAAAUCCAAGAAUUAAGGAAUCUAUAGGAGCUCCAACGAACCCCGAAGUGAAACAUGUUUUGUGAGUGGAUUACUAUUAUUAUUUAUAUGUAUUCUCCAAAGUAUUUAUGUUUGAUAGUAUGAUUUAGUAUCAUGUUAUGAUUAAUGUACGCAUAUUAUAUGAUUGAUUCAGUCAUGAGAUGUGAUUGCCAGAUACCAUAUGUGUACCUUUCCCCAUAGGCUCUAUGCAUGUGUAGUAAGACUUAGAUUACUCGACCCUUGUGAUGUAGUUAAUUCCGCUGAGUAUUGAGAGAUUUUUCCCCCACUUUACUUGUGCAAUGAUGAUUCCAAUAAAUAUUGAGAGUUAUUUCUCUUACAUAUUAUUUGGUGCAGUUUUAUCAUAUAUAUAUAUAUAUGUAUGUAUGUAUGUAUGUAUGUAUGUAUGUAUGUAUGUAUGUAUGUAUGUAUGUAUGUAUGUAUGUAUGUAUGUAUGUAUGUAUGUAUGUAUGUAUGUAUGUAUGUAUGUAUGUAUGUAUGUAUGUAUGUAUGUAUGUAUGUAUGUAUGUAUGUAUGUAUGUAUGUAUGUAUGUAUGUAUGUAUGUAUGUAUGUAUGUAUGUAUGUAUGUAUGUAUGUAUGUAUGUAUGUAUGUAUGUAUGUAUGUAUGUAUGUAUGUAUGUAUGUAUGUAUGUAUGUAUGUAUGUAUAUAUGUAUAUAUGAUUUCAUAUUUGCUUGUGUAAUGUGUUCAGUGCGAAGCUAUGUCAUACAAUUAUGUACAAGCACUAGAGCACUAAUUUAUUUAUAGAUAUAUAUAUUUACACACACACACACAAUUAUAUCCAUUCAUUUAGCCACAAGUAUAUUAUUUUCCUAUUUAUCCCAUUUCUUUAAAAUUUUCAUAGGAUUUCGUGCAGUUCAGUUUCUAAUCAGUUGAGGUUGGGCCACAACACGCAUUACUGCUUGACUUAUAUUUCAAGCACGUUUGUGUUUAUAUGUAUAUAUCUAAAGUGCAAGUAUGUACAGUAAGAUGUGAACUACGCAAGUUUUGAAUAUAUUUUUGAAUGAGAUACAUAUGUUAUUACUUGUUUAUAACAAAGGCCGAGGCUAGUGUUAUGUAUUCAUGAAUUAAAUUUAUGUCACAAGCUUUAGAUAUAUGAUCACAAGAUUCACCUCGAAUCUGGCAGAGAGGUUGGGUCGGGUUGAAAUACAAGUUAUGCAACCCAAGAGGGGGGGUGAAUUGGGUUUUUAAAACUUAUCUUAAUCAAACCACACAACAAUCCAAUCUAAUACCUUAAUAAAUUCGAAAACAAUAAUUUCAAUGAAAGCACAAUAAUAAAAGAGUAAGGGAAGAGAAAGUAAACUCAAGGAUUUUUACGUGGUUCGGCAAUCACCGUCUACGUCCACGCCUCCAAGCAACCUAAGCUUGAUGAUUUCACUAUCUAAGCCUUCCAAGACUUCAAAAGCUUACAAUUGACUUCCAAGGUGUCAAUGAACCUUUACAACAAAGAGAUUAUCUCCCAAUUUCUUCACUCAAGUGUCUCACACACUUAAACACUCACAAAUUUGAUGAGGAAUUGAAAAUUACAACAAAAACUCUCUCAUAUAGUAGAUAUACAAAUUGAAGAACAAAGAUAUUUUAAUAAAUGAUGAUUUACGAAAUUGAAGCUCAAUAUAUGUUGUGUGCACUUGUUUAUGCUUGCUAAGAUUACCAAAAAUGAAUUGGAUUUGAGUUUAUAUAGUUUGAACUCAAAAACUAGUCGUUAUGCACAUUUUGGUAAUAACCGGCUUACUGUUUAUGGAAUCUGGUUAACCGCUUUUAUGUUACCGUUACAGUAAAAAUUUAAAUUUCAGAAUAUUCGACAUGUCGCUUUUCAUAUCCGGUUAGCCACUUUUGAAAUCCGUUUAGCCGCUUUCGAAAGCCGCUUUCAUUCCAGAAGCUUACUGCCCAAAAUCCGGCUAGCCGUUUGUCACAUCUGGUUAGCCGCUUGCUACAGUAACCGGUACGAUGCACUAUUUUUUAAAAUUAUAGUUUGACCUAAAUCUUUAUAAAAUUGUAUUAUGGCCCAAAACAUUAUAUUAUUUUACAAAUAGGUCCCAAAGGAUCAACCAGAAUCUAGAACCCAAUUACCUCUGGUUUGAUCAUCAGUCACAAGUAGAACUCCAGCUGAGUCAUAUCCAUCAUAUUCUUGACUUUCUGAAGCAACAGCAGCAUCUCCAAUUUUCUCCCUUGUAUCUUUUGGCUUAUUUUUCUUUUCUGGGCAAUCCUUCUUGAAAUGGCCUUCCUUGUGGCAGUGGAAGCAUUUCAUGUUCUUGGACUUGGAUUUGGAUAUUUUCUUCUUGCCUUUGUUGCUCUCUUUCUUUUCAGAUCUCCCUCUUGCCAUUAAACCUUCAGCCUCUCUUGAAUCCCUUUUUGUGGCAGCCUUGGAGCUCAAAGUUUCCUUCACAUCUACCAUUGUAAGGGUUUGCCUCCCAUACAUUAGUGUGUCAACCAGAUGUUCAAAUGAGCUUGGUAAUGAGCACAACAAGAUCAUUACUUUAUCUUCAUCAUCAAUCUUUACAUUUAUGUCCUCAAGAUCAAGAAUGAUCUUAUUGAAGGCAUCAAUGUGAUCUGUUAUUGAUGACCCUUCUUCCAUCUGUAACGUGUAUAGUUUUUUCUUGGUAGCUAAUCUUCUUAGCCAUUGAUUUCUUGGUAUAUAAAUCUUCAAGCUUCUUCCAUAACCCUGCAGCUGUCUUCUCACCACCAACUUCUCUAAGUACUCCAUCACCCAAGCUCAAGAUUAUAACACUAUGAGCUCUGUCCAGCACAUCAGGUAGAUCUUCAACAGAAACCUUUCUUGGCUUCUUUGAAGAUGAUUCCUCAGCAAGAGCUUCAUCCAAACCUUGAUGCACCAGCAGAGCUCUCAUCUUGAGCCUCCACAGGUGAAAGUCAUUAUCACCUGUGAAUUUUUCCACCUCAAGCCUAGCUGAUCCCAUUUACAAGAUUAAAGAAAGCAGUGACUGCUCUGAUAUCAAUUUGUUGGACCAAGAUCAGCAAAUAACCAAUCUUAAUCCCCCAAGAUCCACUCGACUUAGCCUUAAUCAAAGAAUCAAAUAAGAUCAACCAAUACUACGUAGAACAACUUAUCAAAGAAAGGAAAAACAGAGAAACAAUCACAUGCAAAAUGGGUUAAGUGGUUCAGCCACCAAGUGACCUACAUCCACUGUGAAAGAGAGAAAGAGCUUUUACUGAUUCAGUAUUUACAAGAUACAAGAUGUCUCGAAAACUAUCACACUCUUGAAAUAAUACAAUAAUGAAGCAAGGACAGCUUAUAUACACGCCUGAAUAUCCCUAGAAACAACCCCAAGAAACCAGCUCACCAGACCUGGGUUUGUUGCUAACAAAACCCACAAAUUUCCCGCUGAUCUUAACAGCAUUAACAGCCUUUCAAACUGGCUUCAAUACACGUGUAGAAGCUUCAUCCAAAACGCAGCCUUCUUCAGUCGUUUAGAGUAAGUAAGGCAUGUGCAACAUCACGUGCUUAACUUAUUCAUUUGGCUUAUGCUCCAGGCUUGUCAUACGUCUCAUUUGUGACACGAAACUGACAUAUCAUCCAGUUCUGAAAUGCAAGACUGAUAUGUCAUUCUCAUCUACAAACUCCAGAUUUGCAGUUCACUUCUCAACACAAACACUUAUUUAAAGCUCCAUUUAUUUUGAAAAUAUUCCAGUAUAAAAUAUAUUCUCUCCCUGACAUGAGUAUUUUGCAAAUAAUACAGAGCCACCGCGGGUUCAAAAAUAAUAAAAUAAUAACAUUGCUCACUUGCUCGACUCGGCUGGAUUGGGCUGAUUGGGCUGGGCCUGCUAUAAGAAUAUGUUACAUGUACGGAGCUUUGCUUUGAUUAUCACAUACACAGAGAGGGAAAUUGAAAUUGAUGAUGGCGUUGGCCGCUCAAUUCCUGCUUCGGAUUCCCCAACUCAGCCAUUGUUCUUGUCUUGCAAUUACAGCACCGCAACAAGCGCGAAUCCACCGUACGUCUCAAGCACGUACCGACCGGCGUCAUAGCUCAUGCCGCCGAAGACCGAUCGCAGCACAAGAAUCGCGCCUCCGACAUCUUUUGGCCCUCAAAGUGAGGAGCAGUGUGAAUCUUGAUGCGUAUUCGCCGCCGCCGCAGCUUCUUCAAAUCCUUCCUCCUAAGUCUACUAUUAGAAGUUCAGAAGUUGGUCCACAAAUUGGACCUAACAAUCCUAAAUUUGCUUUGGUAUUACUCUAUUCACUCUUGCUUCGUCUUUUGUUUGUAUUAAAAUUUAAGUCAUAGUAAUGAUUUUUUUUUUUUGGUUAACUACAGGGAAUGCAAGCCCUGCUUGAUCUAAUUUUCGCAGUCGAGGGAUCUGUAUCAGAAGCAGCAAAAUUAUUGGGGUAUUGCAUUAAGCUUAAUACUCUAUCAAGUGAUAAUUGAACUUUAAAAAGAGAAAUUGCUAUAUGUAAUGUGUUUGAUUGGCGUUUAGGUUUCCAAUAUUUUUUUUAAUUUAAGAUUUCUCUCGUAUGGUGAUCNNNNNNNNNNNNNNNNNNNNNNNNNNNNNNNNNNNNNNNNNNNNNNNNNNNNNNNNNNNNNNNNNNNNNNNNNNNNNNNNNNNNNNNNNNNNNNNNNNNNNNNNNNNNNNNNNNNNNNNNNNNNNNNNNNNNNNNNNNNNNNNNNNNNNNNNNNNNNNNNNNNNNNNNNNNNNNNNNNNNNNGAUUUUGAUGGGAGGAAAACAAUUAUUGAAUCCAAUGUGGUUGACUCUGUAGAAUAAAUCGAUGCUAUGAACCUCCCUUGAAGUUCGGUGAUAAUUUUUUCAACAUCUCAUUGAAAUUUCCACAUGAACUAUUUUUAAUUAUAUAAUUAUAUAAUUAUUUUAAACACCCAUAAAUUCAGUCAUCGUACACCGUGGACUGUACGAUGACUGAAUUUAAUUUGUGGACUUUUUGCUGAAAUUUCCACAUGACACCAUACUUUCAACACACGGCUUCUGUGCUUUCACACUCCCAAGUCAUAACUAUCAGCAACGACCAGGGAAAUAUUUUAAUUUUUAUUGCUCAAUUUAUCGUAUCAGUCCUCGUCUCUCAGUUAAUUGUAUUUAAUUUUGAAAAUUGUCUUAUUUAUCAUUUUUGUUUAAAACAAAAGCUACCUAACCUUUUUUUUUCCCUUAAUGUUGCUUGUUUAUUUAUUUAUUUGUUUUUUGGGGAACUUAUGUCUAAGUUUUAGAUAUUUACAUUUGAAUACAAAAAGUGAAUUUUGUGACUUUUAUCAAAAUGAAAACAUAUUGAAUGGAAAGUAAAUACUAUAUCUUAAAGAUAUUUCUAUUAAAUAUAGUUAUUUCUUAAACUAUAAAGUUUAAUCCAUUUAUUCAUUUUGACUUAUAAGGACAAAAAUGUCAAAUAACCAUGUUUAUUUUUUAAAAAAAUUAUAAAAAAUAAGACGCUGCUGUACGGCCAAGGCGGAUGUACGGUACAGCAGAUGCUUCUCUGCUUUCUUGAAUGUAUGCUUGUUCUUGUUCACAUUUUACCGUUCGUGAUAAUUGGUAUGGUCUUUCUUUGGCAUCAUCAAGCCCCAAAUGUGAUGAAACAUUUUGAAUUUCUUAUUGAUCCAGCCUUCACUUUAGUAUAAUUUAUACACCAUACCUGCAGUAAGUAUCAUUGAUAGUUCCGAAUGAGUGCGAAAGCAGACUAGUGUGUAACUUCAUGAUUUAUUUACUGGUUUGCACAUCCAUAUUUCAAAUGGUUUACUGGUCUCCGCCCAAAAGAGAGGGAAAAUGAAAGACUUGUGAGACAAUCCCCAUGGCUUUGUUGACAUCAGUUUGGUGGUUGAUUGAGAAUGAAUGAUCAUACAUACACACAGAUGCUUGUUAGAGGGCUUGUUCUGUUGAAUUAUGCUGGCGGCAUAAACUACAAGGCAUUGUUGAUGAUUGGAGAAUCAAGCUAUUGUUUCCAUUGCUUUGGUUGAUUGAUCCUUUGUUGAAGCAAAGGCCAAUUGCAGAUGCAUUCUUUGAGGAUGUGAAACAAAGGUAUUUUCUCUUCUCUCUAUUCAGUCCUUUGUUCAUUAUCCUAAAACACUAGAGUCAAAAAUUAAAAAACUCUAUGAUGUGUCUAUAUUGGUGCUGCAGGGGAACACUAAGGAACAUUUUACUAUCCAUCUAUGCAAAUAAGGAAUCUGUGGAUGAGACACUGGUAGAGGUAUUAACAUUCUCCACUUAUGUUAAUGAUAUGAGAAUGAUAAGAUCCAAUUUUAUACAUGAAAAAGAUACAAUAAUCUAAAUAGAAACGUAAGUUUACAGGCAUCUUCAAUCAUUUCCUUACAAGUCAGUUUUGUAAAUAUAAAUUCCUAUAAUACUACUAAUACGAUUGUGUUCAAUUAAAUGUACACUUGAAGGAAGCAAGAAAGGUAGCAUAGAGUACUACGUACGUAGCGAGAAGUAAAAUAAUGGGGAAUGAUGAAGAAGCGUCAUCAUCAAAUCGGCCAUCCAUAGGUUUCCCUCUUGGUUUAGCUCUGCUUUUGAUGAUGUUGUUUUGCAUGAGUGGCGUCCUCACUUGUUGCCUCAAUUGGCAUAAAGUUCGAUCCCUCCUCAUUCACGCUGAUAAUGAUAAUAUUCAAACCAAUAUCCACCAUUUGGACACGGUAAUUAACUAUGAGUAAUGAUACAACUACAAAUUCUUGUACAAACUUAUUUUGUACAAACUGAUGUGGCAUGAUAUACAUGUUUAAGCGAAUGGAUUCACAACACAAAUGAGUUGAGUGAAAAUGACAAAUCAAUAUACAAAUAUAUUUUUUAAAAUAUAUCAUGAAUCCAUGAAAAUAAAGUUAAAAAAUCAUGGAUAAAAAUUCAGAAAUAUCAUGAAUGAAACACUAGCAUUCAAAAAAGAAAAGGAAAAAAAAUAACACGCCAAGUAGAUUAAAUCUGCAGGAAAAGAAGGCCAGUAAUUUUACAUGCACCACGUCCCUCGAAAAUUAUUACAUGCAUGUUUUCUUACAUUCAUGAAAAUACUCUAGUGUGAAUUUGUGAUCUUGGCUUUUUCUGUUAUUAUUAAUAGUGAUUAGCAAAAGAGAACUGACAGAUUUAGUAGUGACGAAGCGAGCAACAGCAGCAGGAGAGAGAUAACAGCAGCACAGAGGAAGAUCAACAGCAGUGAAAGAGACAGAGCAGCAGCACCAGAGUGGUGAAGAAGAGAGAAUAGCAACAUGUACCAAAGAUGGAGAAAAAGAGCGAUUAGAUCUGUGAUCAGGGAGAGUGAAUGGGAAGAUCGCGAUAAGAUUUUAGGCGAGAGAAAUAGACGUCACGGAUAAGCCUUGGAUUCUCUAUUUUUUGAUUUAUUUUAGCUUUAUAUUUGUAAUUCAUUGAGAAUAAGUUAUACACGUUCUCAAAUUUAUAACUAUAAAAGAAGAUAUCAAUUAUUUGUUUUACAAUUUGUUUUUUGAAUUUCGGACAUCAAUCGCGCAUUAACUUAGAUUUAUAAAAGGAAAAUGAAAAUAGGGCCCAUAAAUGUUACCGAACAUGCCAUAAUAUUCUCCACUAAUAUGCCAUUUUAACCUCCUACAAAAGAGCCCCUAAGGGCGUGGUCGGAUUAGUUGCAGUGAAGCUGUACCCUCUACUAAAAUCCGGGUUCAAUUCUUGGGGGUGGUAAGGGGGGUAAAAAUUGUAUUUGGGCCUGCCCACCCCCCAUACCUUUAAAAAAAGUUUUUAAAAAAAAAACCUCUUACAAAAGCGGCUACUCAGAAAUCAUAAUUGACCUCAAAACUGCAGAUCAUACGAGAACCCACCAAUAAUGAAUAGGCGCUUAAUGCAUUUUUUUCGAUUGUGAUAGGCCUACCAGGGCCGAACCUAGUGCAAUUGAUGCCAAAAAAUGUCUAUACCUAUACUAGUUUUAUGGGGUGUUGAGGAUCCAUUCACACUCUUUGAUGGACCUGCUGGUUAAUACUCCUCAUUUCUACCUUCUUAACUCUCAAAUGUGCAAGUUAAUUGUAUUGGAAGGAGUGGGACAUCAUCCCCAUGACGACAGACCCAAGGAGAUCCAUGAAAAGCUGCUUUCUCGGUUGGCUGAAACAUUUAAGUGCUGAGGAAUUUACUUUCUCAUCAGCAAGUUUUGAUGAGCAUUAUUUAUUAUUCCUAAUGUAAAAUGGCAAACAACUCUUGUAUUUAUAGUGUUAUAUCAAUUUUUAUUCAACCGCUUGAAUAUCUUUUGGCAUCGAAAGAAUGUAGGAGAAACUGAUCCCUGACAAGUUGUAAAAGCUCCAAAUUGAUUCAAGAAAUGUACCAAAUUAUUCAAUAAAAAGUCAAAUUCAACACAAUAAUAAAGAACAAUGAUUUAUUAAUCUAUAUUGCUCAUGUUAAUGAUAUGUGAAUGAUAAGAUUCAAUUUUUCAUAUGAAAAAGAUACAACAAUCUAAAUAGAAAUAAAGGUUCAUGGGCAUCUUUAACCUUUCCUUACAAGCUAGUUUUUUAAAGGUAAAUUCUACCCAUAGAUGAUACCACGUCAACUAUGGAAUCAAAUGAAACAUUUCGAAUAUGGAAUUGGUAUAAAUACUUGAAAGUAUGGAUACAUGUUUGUUGAUACAGAAAUCUAGUUGAGCUAUGUAGCGACCAGACAACCACGCCAACACUUAAAUUUGUUGUUAUUGGAGAGACGGUUCUAUGCUACUUCCUCACUAUCGAAUAAGUUCCUGCGACCUCGAGUACUUCCUUCAAGAACACCUACGUUUAUAACAUCUAGUUAGAGGAUGCCUGAGGUUUUUCCGGCAUGAACCCUCUGACACUCGAGUGGGAGAUCUGGGUCUACUUGAAAAAACUCAUGACAUGAUUCACGUGACUUAAUUACAACUACUCUGGAUGAAAAAAAGGUUUAAUUUCAUAAAAAAGGAAAAAUAGAGAAGAUAAAAUUGUGAAUAGAGAGAGUAUGAAAAAUUAAGUAAAAAGUUAUCUAAACCCUUUACCUCUAUUCUCUAAAGCUUUAAUAUCCAACCAAAAUUAUGGGCCUCCUCUCUCCCCCAACACCGUUGCUGGGUUGGUCACAUACCUGUGGGAGAGUAGGUAGCGUAACUGCUGGUGAGUGGGCUUCAUGCUCGAAUUCUUUGGAGGAAACCCAUGGGUUGACCUUUAACCAAGUCGCCGAUUUGACUUAAUUGUAGUCUCUCCUCGUGCUUCCUCGAGCAGACUUUGCUCAUGUGACCAGCCACACACCUCAUCGGGGAUAAUAUUUCUCGAUGAGUCAUUUUAGGCCGAGGGGAGCACAUUUUGCUCAUGUGUGCCUAAUCAUGAUGUUUUUCACCCCAAAAUAGAUGUUUAAGCAAACUGAUUCAUAGCAAAAAUGAGUUGGGUGAAAAUGACAGCUAUCAUGUUCUUUUUUUUUUUUUAAAUCAAUAUACAAAUAAGUUUUUUAAAAUAUAUAAGAUUUGACGGAGUUUAACUGUUCCUUCUUUAUUGCUUUUACUUCCACAUGAUAAAACUUUCCCAUAUACAACAAUUUAGAUGUAACAAAAUAGAAAAUUUUCAAAUGUGAUUGCGUUAUAUACAGGAGAGUUGAUGUAGUGCGCAAUGGGAUGAGUGGCAUGUGUUCAUUGGUUGAGAUAUGGGCCAACAACAUACUCUGUAAGAACUCGUUGCGCGUCCUGUAAUGCAUAUGCCCCCAAAAGGCAAAAGCGCCCAAACACACUGCUGUACGGCCAAGGUGGAUGUACGGUACAGCAGUCCAAUAACAAAUCGUUGUGGGUGGUGUGUGCAGAGCAAGAAAGAAGGCCAAUAGUUUUAAUUUUACAAUAUACAUCAUGUGCUUUUCAUACAUUAUACUCUUCACCUAAUAAGGUAAAGUUCAAUACUCUAGUGUGAAUUUGAAAGAAAGUUAAAAGCUGUUUGUUUCAAGAGAAAAUUUACAGAGGAAAAUUAAAGUUCUUAUUUCUUUUACUCUUUUUCCAUUACUUAACAACUGAACAUAUACAGCUUAUAUACUCGAAGAUAUUUACAUACACAUGCUAAAGGAACUAGUAACAAACAUUAACAACUUAUGCUGACUUAUUAAUUCCCGUAACUAAUUCUGCUGAUCUGGCACUGAUGAGCUGGCACAAUUAACUUGCUUCACUAACUAAGACUGAGAACUUCUUUGCCUUCCUGUUCUUCAUAAACGCAGCACAAUGAGCUUCCCUAAUAGAAUUUGCGUUACAUGCACCAGAUCCGUCGAAAGUUAUAACAUGAAUGUUUUGUUCCAAGAACUGAUUUUGGCACUUUCUUCUAUUAUUAAUAGUGAUUUGAAAAAGGAAAACAAUAAAAAUACAUUCAUGAAAAUCUCAGUCUUCUUCGUUAUAUUUGAAAGAUCUGCUUGGGUCUUCCAUUGAAUUCGUAGAGUCUGCAAUGCAAAAAAAAAUGGAUCCCACAUUUUUUCACUCCGCAACACUCACACUCCAAAGGUGGAAAAACAUUAAAGUGGGCUGUCUCAGGAAAGCAAUUGCAUUUCCAAAAACCAUUAAAAUCCUCUUCAUAGAACAAAUAGUAUGCCAAAUGUAAGUGAUUUGAUUCUAAAUAAUUAACUCUUCUCUGAAAUAACGUGUCAUGCGGAUCACAAUCUUUGGUGGUUUCCACUUUGAGCUCACAAGAAAAUGAAAACCAUCUGCCACAAUCUACAUGACGGCCUGAAAAUCCUAAAAUAGCACCAAAUGCAAAGCCCAGUACUCUGUUGUUAUUGAAGAAAUCUGGGGGCAUCUCUAACGUUAUAAAAGAUCCCACACUUUGAAAAUUAAACCACCUUGGAAUUUCAUUCCCAGCUAGUACGUAAUGGCCUUCCUUGGGAAAACCUCUCUAUACCAAAAGAUCAAAAUUUUAAACCCAAAAAAAAGGUAUAAAUUGUAAGGAGAAAGAAUUAAGACACACCUUUUCCCGUACUUCUUUCCAACGGGCAGGUACCACAUGGCCCAUAUAUUGAAUUAUCACGUCAUCUUCAAUAAUUCCUGCAGUAGUAUUACCUUGCAAUUAAAAAUUAUUGCUCUAGUAAAAAAACGUUGCCUAUAAGAUUCAGAACUUAGAGAAUAAACCUGUUAAUGAUUGUGGUGCCGAGUAAUGAUCGGCAUCUAACCAUCGUACAGGGAAUAGAGGCUUUGGUAAGGAUUGAAGCCCCUCACAAUAAUCUAAGAGGAUUUAUCGCAACAUAAAUUGUUGGAUAAUGCUUUCUGGUAUUCUAUUCAUGAAAAUCUCAGUCUUCUUCGUUAUAGUUGAAACAUCUGCUUGGGUCUUCCAUUGAAUUCGUAGAGUCUGCAAUGCCAAAAAAUUGGAUCCCACAUUUUUUCACUCCGCAACACUCACACUCCAAAGGUGGAAAAACAUUAAAGUGGAUUGUCUCAGGAAAGCAAUUGCAUUUCCAAAAACCAUUAAAAUCCUCUUCAUAGAACAAAUAGUAUCCCAAAUGUAAGUGAUCUGAUUCUAAAUAAUUAACUCUUCUUUGAAAUAACAGUGUGUCAUGCGGAUCACAACCUUUGGUGGUUUCCACUUUGAGCUCACAAGAAAAUGAAAACCAUCUGCCAUAAUCUACAUGACGGCCUGAAAAUCCUAAAAUAGCACCAAAUGCAAAGCCCAGUACUCUGUUGUUAUUGAAGAAAUCUGGGGGCAUCUCUAACGUUAUAAAAGAUCCCACACUUUGAAAAUUAAACCACCUUGGAAUUUCAUUCCCAGCUAGUACGUAAUGGCCUUCCUUGGGAAAACCUCUCUAUACCAAAAGAUCAAAAUUUUAAACCCAAAAAAAAGGUAUAAAUUGUAAGGAGAAAGAAUUAAGACACACCUUUUCCCGUACUUCUUUCCAACGGGCAGGUACCACAUGGCCCAUAUAUUGAAUUAUCACGUCAUCUUCAAUAAUUCCUGCAGUAGUAUUACCUUGCAAUUAAAAAUUAUUGCUCUAGUAAAAAAACGUUGCCUAUAAGAUUCAGAACUUAGAGAAUAAACCUGUUAAUGAUUGUGGUGCCGAGUAAUGAUCGGCAUCUAACCAUCGUACAGGGAAUAGAGUGCAUAUGCCCCCAAAAGGCAAAAGCGCCCAAACACACUGCUGUACGGCCAAGGUGGAUGUACGGUACAGCAGUCCAAUAACAAAUCGUUGUGGGUGGUGUGUGCAGAGCAAGAAAGAAGGCCAAUAGUUUUAAUUUUACAAUAUACAUCAUGUGCUUUUCAUACAUUAUACUCUUCACCUAAUAAGGUAAAGUUCAAUACUCUAGUGUGAAUUUGAAAGAAAGUUAAAAGCUGUUUGUUUCAAGAGAAAAUUUACAGAGGAAAAUUAAAGUUCUUAUUUCUUUUACUCUUUUUCCAUUACUUAACAACUGAACAUAUACAGCUUAUAUACUCGAAGAUAUUUACAUACACAUGCUAAAGGAACUAGUAACAAACAUUAACAACUUAUGCUGACUUAUUAAUUCCCGUAACUAAUUCUGCUGAUCUGGCACUGAUGAGCUGGCACAAUUAACUUGCUUCACUAACUAAGACUGAGAACUUCUUUGCCUUCCUGUUCUUCAUAAACGCAGCACAAUGAGCUUCCCUAAUAGAAUUUGCGUUACAUGCACCAGAUCCGUCGAAAGUUAUAACAUGAAUGUUUUGUUCCAAGAACUGAUUUUGGCACUUUCUUCUAUUAUUAAUAGUGAUUUGAAAAAGGAAAACAAUAAAAAUACAUUCAUGAAAAUCUCAGUCUUCUUCGUUAUAUUUGAAAGAUCUGCUUGGGUCUUCCAUUGAAUUCGUAGAGUCUGCAAUGCAAAAAAAAAUGGAUCCCACAUUUUUUCACUCCGCAACACUCACACUCCAAAGGUGGAAAAACAUUAAAGUGGGCUGUCUCAGGAAAGCAAUUGCAUUUCCAAAAACCAUUAAAAUCCUCUUCAUAGAACAAAUAGUAUGCCAAAUGUAAGUGAUUUGAUUCUAAAUAAUUAACUCUUCUCUGAAAUAACGUGUCAUGCGGAUCACAAUCUUUGGUGGUUUCCACUUUGAGCUCACAAGAAAAUGAAAACCAUCUGCCAUAAUCUACAUGACGGCCUGAAAAUCCUAAAAUAGCACCAAAUGCAAAGCCCAGUACUCUGUUGUUAUUGAAGAAAUCUGGGGGCAUCUCUAACGUUAUAAAAGAUCCCACACUUUGAAAAUUAAACCACCUUGGAAUUUCAUUCCCAGCUAGUACGUAAUGGCCUUCCUUGGGAAAACCUCUCUAUACCAAAAGAUCAAAAUUUUAAACCCAAAAAAAAGGUAUAAAUUGUAAGGAGAAAGAAUUAAGACACACCUUUUCCCGUACUUCUUUCCAAUGGGAAGGUACCACAUGGCCCAUAUAUUGAAUUCUCAUGUCAUCUUCAAUAAUUCCUGCAGUAGUAUUACCUUGCAAUUAAAAAUUAUUGCUCUAGUGUAAAAACCUUGCCUAUAAGAUUCAGAACUUAGAGAAUAAACCUGUUAAUGAUUGUGGUGCCGAGUAAUGAUCGGCAUCUAACCAUUGUACAAGGAAUAGAGGCUUUGGUAAGGAUUGAAGCCCCUCACAAUAAUCGAAGAGGAUGUAUCGCAACAUAAAUUGUUGGAUAAUGCUUUCUGGUAUUCUCUCAAUAUUGGUUUUCAAUAGAUUCACUACUAAUGGCGACGAUAACUGGCCAAGCCAUUCGGGCAAUCUCUGAAGAUUUGAGCAACCACGGAGACUAAGAAGUUCAAGAGACUUCAACUUACAGAGGCUGCUUGGGAGACUCUUAAGCCUUUUACAAUCUGAAAGGUCUAACAACCAAAGCCUAAGUAGAAGCUCAAAUGAUGAGGGCAGUUCUUCAAUUGCAGUUCCACUUAAAAAUAGCCGGCCUAUGUUACCAGAUGAGAUCUCUGGAAGCCUCUUCAACUUUGAACAACCCGAAAGAUCAAGUUCGGUAAGAAAUUCCAAAUUAAACAUUCCAGCUGGAAGACUUUUCAGGGUUUUGCUACCGAAUUAAAUAUUCCAGCUGGAAGACUUUUCAGGCUUUUGCUACCUCUUAGAUUCAAGAUAACUAGCUUGUUCAGAUGUGGAAUCAACGUGGGGUUUAGAGUUUUGGCAAUUAACUUCUUGCAGGCAGCAUGGAUUAGCUGGUUUAACUUACUAUAAUGCUGCUCGGUCAAAAAAGAGGCAAAGAUAAAAUCAUUACUAUGUAUGAUAAUUUAACGUUCUUAUUGAAAGAUUGCACAUAUAUAUUAAGGUAAACAUACCUUCUCUGCACUAAGGUUUGAAGGUAAUGACUUCAACGGAUAUCCAUGCCAGUGAAGAUAUUUCACUUCAGCAAAUCUGAGGUCUUGCAAAUGAGACACCUUGCAUUUGUUCUCCCCAUUGAAUGAUGAACUAUAGAAUUUUAAAAAUCUCAAUUUACGCAUCUUUGCGAAAGUAUUGGGAUUUAGAUGGAUCUCUUUUACUUUUGCUUGUUCUCCCCAUUGAAUGAUGAACUAUAGAAUUUUAAAAAUCUCAAUUUACGCAUCUUUGAAAAAGUAUUGGGAUUUAGAUGGAUCUCUUUUACUUUUGACACAUCCAAACAGAUGCCCUCAAUUUUUUCUGUCCCCUAAAAAUAAAUAGAAAAAUCAAUAAAGUUAACAUCAAAUGAAAAAUGAUAUUUAUAUUCCACUAGAGAAUAACACUUCAGCCCCACCAAGACAAAUUUUUGGGGCAAAUUUAUCACUCAUUCACAAUUAAAGGUAGCUUAGUUAUUAAUUCAACUUUAAUUUGUUCUUGUG